GACGAACGCUGGCGGCGUGCUUAACACAUGCAAGUCGAGCGAGUGAGUUCUUCGGAACGAUCUAGCGGCGGACGGGUGAGUAACACGUGGGCAACCUGCCUCAUAGAGGGGAAUAGCCUCCCGAAAGGGAGAUUAAUACCGCAUAAAAUUAUCGAGUGGCAUCACAUGAUAAUCAAAGGAGUAAUCCGCUAUGAGAUGGGCCCGCGGCGCAUUAGCUAGUUGGUAAGGUAACGGCUCACCAAGGCGACGAUGCGUAGCCGACCUGAGAGGGUGAUCGGCCACAUUGGGACUGAGACACGGCCCAGACUCCUACGGGAGGCAGCAGUGGGGAAUAUUGCACAAUGGGGGAAACCCUGAUGCAGCAACGCCGCGUGAGUGAUGAAGGUCUUCGGAUUGUAAAGCUCUGUCUUUGGGGACGAUAAUGACGGUACCCAAGGAGGAAGCCACGGCUAACUACGUGCCAGCAGCCGCCGUAA
rnacentral:rRNA from 1 species